rnacentral:rRNA from 1 species
AGAUUGUAGGCUGAAACUCGCCUAUAUGAAGUCGGAAUUGCUAGUAAUCGCAGAUCAGCAUGCUGCGGUGAAUACGUUCCCGGGCCUUGUACACACCGCCCGUCACACCAUGAGAGUCGAUAACACCCGAAGCCUGUAGUCUAACCAUAAGGAGGACGCAGUCGAAGGUGGGAUUGAUAAUUAGGGUGAAGUCGUAACAAGGUAUC